GUUCCCUCAUGGCUCAAAGGGUUAAGUACCCACUGCUGUCACUACAAUGGCUCUGAUUACAGCCUGGUGCAAGAUUGAUCCCUAGCUCAGGAAUUUCCACAUGCCAUGGGAGCAGCCAACAAAAAUGAUAUAAUUGAUUGUAUGAUUCAAAUAAAAUAUUUCUAAUAUAUAGCAAUUACAAUAGGCUAUAUUAACAUAAUCAUAUGUGUUUUAUAAGAUUUGAUAAGUAUAUGUUAUUGAUAGAAUUUGAAGACAAAUUUAGUAUAUAUGUAUAUAUAUAAUAUAGAAUUUAUUUCCAUCAAAUAAGUGCAAUUAAAAUGUCAUUCAUUAAUUUGGCAAUGAUAGAUGUUAGUAUAUUUGCUGAAAAAUAAAAAAAAUAAGGAAUAUUGACAUUUUUAAAAAGUUGAAAUGUUAUAGAAAUAUUGAUUUUAAUUAAAAUAGCAUUAAUUCUAUAUUAAAUUAUUAAAAUUAGCUAUUUUUAUAAAGUCAUAAUGAAUUGUUUUGCCAUCUUUUACGCCCAGUAUAAACCAUCCAUUUAAAUUGUAAUUAUCUAUUUAAAUUGUAAUUUUUCAUAUUUAAAAAUAAGAUCGAACACAAAGACAGCCUUUUUAAAUAAAAAUUUCUUGUAAAAUAUAUAUCUGCUAACAUAAAUAAAUAUAAUAUUUAUAUAAAUAUAAUUCAUUCGUUAUUAGUGAUAUAAUGGAAAAAUUCCAUAGUGCAAAAUCAAAAUUGACCCAAGAAGGCUUAUAUAUGUGUGUGUAUAUAUAGAUUUACCUGCAAGGAAAUAUAUGUAAAUCAGACUUAAGUCUGCUCGAACACAUUGUAUCAAAUUAAAUUUUAUAGUUCUUACUAUCUGACAUAACUGUAAACAGAAUUUGUGUUAUUUCUAAAAGGAGGUGAUAAAAGAUUUAUUAAUUAACUGAAAGGAAAUGGAUUUUUAUGCUCAUAUAUUUUAGCCCAUCACAGUAAAAAAUCUCCAACAGCCUAUGCCUGUUUCAUCCUAUAUGAUCUGGUGAUAAACCUCAAUUUAGAAAGUAACAUUUCUGUUAGAGCAACAGAUCACACUAAACAAACAUGGAUAGUGAUUCCACUGCUGUUUAAAAAAUCUGUAGAAAUGUUGUAUAAAAUGUACAUUAACAUUACAAUAUAUAAUGAGAUUAAAUAAGGAGAGAGGCUGCAGUCUAUGUAAAGAAAGAGAGUAAGCACUUAAAAUUUAUGGUACAUUGGCACUGAGGUGGGUGGUAACUAAUUAAAUAGAAAAGUACAUAUUGCAAACUAAAGUCUUGUAUUUUAAUGCUAAACUAAGGACAAAAAAGAAAUGUGUUCUCAAGAAUGCAAAAAGGAGAAACUAGAAGUGAGCUCUUUUGCAACAUGGAGAAAAUAGAAAAGCAUAGUGGAAGGAAGGGAAGGAGAGAGAGAGAAAAGAAGAACUAAAGAAUAAAAAUCUCUUUGAUUUGGUCAGAUAAAAAGAGAGGUCAUGUGUCUGUCCAUGACUGAGGCAGUAACUUGCAUGAGGAGAAGUACAAAUACACACUUGGAUUUCAUGUAAUAUUUAGUCUUACUAGAUCUUCAUGGCAUCUUAUAGAUAUUAUUAGAAUAAAGUAAUAAUGAAAAGAUUAGAAAAAUCAUUUAAAGAUAUCUUUAAGAACUUCACAAUUGAUUUGGGAAUUAAUCAAGUAAGACCUGAACAGAUUUUAGUGACUAAAGAACAUUAAACACAAAACAACAAUUUUAAGAUCAAACAGAAGACAGAAUUAAAAACAACAACAAUUCUGACAACAACAGUUUCUGUUUGGCACAUUAGAAGCAAGAAAAGAAUAAGUAAAACAUUUAAUGUACUUAUACCUGCAUCUGUUGACUUAAAAUUGAAUAGGCUAAUGAUAAUUUUCUUCUUGCUCCUUCUUUAGUCACCUCAGCCAGAAUCCUUUAAGGCAACACCACUCACCUAUGAUAGAAGAGAUGAACUGAAAAUAAAUGCUCAAAUAACCCUCAAUACCAAGAAAAGCUACAUAUUUAUCAUUUAUUUUUUGGUACACAGUGACAUGACGUCUCCAAGUAAAACAUCAAAUUUCAUGUACUCUACCCAUAAUUUAACGUGGGAAUUGCUACAAUAACACUUUAAAUGUUUGCUGAAUCAAUUAACUUAUAAAAAUAUACAGCAAUAUUUAAAUAUAAUAUCGUAUUUGCAAUUGAGGUUAUCUUAAUUCUGUUACUUGUUAGAAAUUGCUUAGCUGUUAAUGGCAAUAAGAGGUAUGAGCCAAACUAGAGAUUUUUUUCUCCUCAGUUUAGCAGUCCUGUAAAAAUGCAAAGAAAAAAAUUCAACUUAAACCUCAGCACCUAAAAAUUUAAUAAAUAAUAGCAAGAAAUACACAUGAUGGGCUUAGCUCCUAUAAUCAGAAAAUUCAGGAUUAAAAAAUAUAUGAUAAAAUCCAUUGAAAAUCUUUCAUGGGAACAGGAAGAGUUAUUAUUGCCUUAAAAAUGGUAUAAUAUCAUGGUCUAAACUUACUCUGAAAAUGAAAAAAAUAAAAAUUAUGUAAAAAAUUAAUGUUAACUUUGAAUUAAUAAUUUUAACAAAUAAUAUUAGUAAAUAAUAUGAUUAAUAAUUAACUUGAUUGAUGGAAUGAUUCUUUUCUAUCUGUUAUAUAUUUUCAACUGUUAGGAAAUAUGCAUUAUUAAUGCAAUAUGUGUAAUUUAGUAGGUGUAUCACUAAGGAGGGUCAGGGAAUGAAGUUUCCACCUGCAGGGCCAUCAGUAUACAACAGGGUUUUGGAUAGAGUUAAUUAUUUUACUGUUUGUGUUUUGUUUGUUUGUUUGUUUAUUUGUAUCUUCAAUUUUACCUCUAAAUUAUCUUCCUGAAGUCUCCAAAUCUAACUUUAAUAUUUCUUGAAGUACAGGUCCACUGUUACAUUCUGCCUUCUUCAGUUGUAUGACAACUUAAUUUUUUUUUUCUCAAUAGUUUAAAAUGUUUAAUGCAUUGUUUUUUUGGCUCACGUCACUUCUGAUAAUAAAUUACCAGCCAUUCUUCCCUCCCUUCACUCCCUUUAAAUGUCUUCUUCCAUCACCACCCAGAGUUUCAUUCAAGAUUUUCUGAGUUUCCAUCUAGCUUGGAAACAUUUCAAGCUAGCCAUUAUUACUUCUCAUUUUUUCCUCUUCCUCUCUUCGUAUGGGAAACGCUUAUAGCUAAACACUUCAAUAUUGUCCUGCUGGUCCCUGAUAACUACUGAGUUUUUUUCAAAAUUGUUUUUGUCUUUGCUUCAGUGUGGAUAAUUUCUGUUGUAACAAUUGAACAUAUGAAGUUUGUGAUGAACAUUAAAAUGGAAAGUUUGAGUAGAAAGUCAAGAAUUGAGGACUGAAGUCUAGGCUACCGACAGACAUUUUAUUGUCUAAAUGUAGAUGAUAUUCAAAAUAGUAGUGGAUGAUUGCCAAGGAAAUGAAUGUAAAAAGAGGAAAUAAGAAUUGAAUACUGAACCCUGGAACACCCCAAAAAUAAGAGAUUGGAAAGGGAAAGGAGAUAAUAAGGAUCAACCAGUAAAGAAGGAGAGGAAUUAAGUGUGUGGUGUCAUGAAAACCAAUGGUAGGGGAGUACCUCCAAGGGAAAAUAGUAAUCAUCUGAGUCAACACAUAAAGUGAAUACUCAGAAUAUACUUUUGGACUGACAUACUUAAAAAUGUUUAGUGAUGUAAGAGCAGAUAUGAUGGAGUGUUGGGGAUGAAGAUUGCAAUGGCAAUUGGGAAGAAUAAAAAAAAAGGAAAUAAAUUGGAAAUAGGUAGCACUUAUCUCUACCCAGGUACUUUCACAUACACAUACACAUAUUUUAUUCCCAUACAUGUUUUACUUUACAUAUUUUGGAAAACCUAUGUAUACUAGAGAGAAUAUUGGUUGCCAAAAGAUGUCCAUGUCCCAAACUGUGACUAGGUUUCUUCAUGCAGCAAUGAAGAUAUGCAGAUAUGAUUAAGAAUCUUCAGAUAGGAAUAUUCAUUCGGUUUAUCUGGGUUGUUGUUAUAAAAGGGAGAAAGGAGGGUAAGUAUCAGAUUGAUUUGAAGAUGCUAUUCUGGUUUUGAAGAUGGAAGAAGAGUCGUAGAAUAAGGAAUGCCUGAUUCUUUUUUUAAGCUGAGAAAGUCAAGGUUCUAUCCUAGAUUCUCCAGGGAGAAUACAGACCUACUAACAUUGUGACUUUAGACCAGUAAAACACAUUUCAAACUUAUGAUAUUCUAACCUCUAAAACUAAAAAUUUAUAAUAAAUUUCUGUUGUUUUAAGCCACUAACUAUGGGAUAUUUUUUAACCACAGUUAUAGAAAACUAUAAUAUAUGAUUAUAUAAUUUAUUUAUUUAACAAGUACAAUUCAGUACCACACUCAGUAUAUAAAGUCUAGAUAUUAUUAUAUAAACUCCAUAUGUUACAUCUUUGGUUUUCAGAAGCUUUAGCUGUGACCUAUCUGAUGAAGCUCUCACUUGGCAUUGAAAGUUUCUAAUAAUUAUAUGGUAUGUCCUACUGUAUAUAUAAGCUAUAAGGUUUUGAAAAACUCCUGCAGAGAACUUGUGUAAGACAUUAUAAUCUGAAUCAUUAAUAACAUAACAAAUACAUUUAAGAUUUUUGAAUCAGAGAUUUUAAAGAGCCAUCCAUCAUACUAUGCAAAGAAAGAUGCAGAUAUGGAUAGAUAUGGAAUGAUAUUUUACUUAACAUAAAGAGACAGAGAGACAUAAAGAGAAAGUUCCUGUUGUGGCUCAUUGGAAAUAACCGGGCUAGUAUCCAUGAGGAUGUGGGUUUGAUCCCAGGCCCCGUUCAGUGGGUUAAGGAUCCAGCAUUGCUGCAAGCUGUGGUGUAGGUCUCAGAAACAACUCAGAUGGGAUCUGGCAUUGUUGUGGCUGUGAGGUAGGUGGCAGCUGUAGCUCCACUUUGACCCCCUAGCCUGGGA
rnacentral:lncRNA from 1 species